rnacentral:rRNA from 1 species
GGAAUUUUGGACAAUGGGCGAAAGCCUGAUCCAGCAAUGCCGCGUGCAGGAUGGAGGCCUUCGGGUUGUAAACUGCUUUUGUACGGAACGAAAAGCUUCGGGUUAAUACCCUGGAGUCAUGACGGUACCGUACGAAUAAGCACCGGCUAACUACGUGCCAGCAGCCGCGGUAAUACGUAGGGUGCAAGCGUUAAUCGGAAUUACUGGGCGUAAAGAGGGAGCAGGCGGUCUUGUAAGACAGAGGUGAAAUCCCCGGGCUCAACCUGGGAACUGCCUUUGUGACUGAAAGGCUGGAGUGCGGCAGAGGGGGAUGGAAUUCCGCGUGUAGCAGUGAAAUGCGUAGAUAUGCGGAGGAACACCGAUGGCGAAGGCAAUCCCCUGGGCCUGCACUGACGCUCAUGCACGAAAGCGUGGGGAGC